rnacentral:lncRNA from 1 species
GGGUUAAGACCCUUCGCAGGCAGGCGGCGAUAAUCACAAUCAACGUUUUGGUCGUCGAGCUGUGCAAGCCUAUGGAUUGGAUGACUCUCUCCCACUCUUCCACUCUCCCACUCGCUCAACGCUCUCCCAUUCUGCGAUUUCUCCGGAAUGCAAAAAUAAGUAUGUAUGAUAUGAAAUGCGAAAUUUAUGUUAUCUCCGCUCUGAAAUUGUUCAUUUACUUAAUGUUAUUCCGUAAGUACAAUAUAAAUGCAUUGUCUGUGCUGUGCAGCAGCGGAGCUUAAGCAAUUGGAGCUCAGUCAGUGGCUUUAAAAGUGUCACAAACACACACACACACACAGCAUUUUUUGGCUCAGUUUGGGUAAUUGAAUAUAAUUUAAAUGUGGAAUAUAACUUAAAUUUGUCCAUUCAAGCAAAGAGACAGACUCCAAAGGAGCCAAAUAACCAUAAAAUAAAUUUAUGAAGCUGUAAUUGAUGGCAUUGCUG